AAAAAAAAUGAAAAUAUAGUCUUUAUAUUGGCUCCUCGUUAAUUAUUCAUACAUGGUAACAUACAUGGAUAUUGUACAAACUAACUCUUCUCAACCUUAACUUUUGCCGAGUAAUUCCAGCAGCAUUAUAUCAACGUCUCCUAUCUGUGAUGUAAACCAGUUCCAGCGAAAGUUGUUUGCUUGAUAACUGGAUUUUUUUUUUUUUUUGGCUUCUGA
rnacentral:misc_RNA from 1 species